UUGACCUACGGGGGGCAGCAGUAGGGAAUUUUCGUCAAUGGGCGCAAGCCUGAACGAGCAAUGCCGCGUGAACGAGGAAGGUCUUCGGAUCGUAAAGUUCUGUCAGCAGGGAAGAACGGUCACUGUGCUAAUCAGCAGUGAAUUGACGGUACCUGCAAAGGAAGCACCGGCUAACUCCGUGCCAGCAGCCGCGGUAAUACGGAGGGUGCGAGCGUUAAUCGGAAUUACUGGGCGUAAAGCGCUCGUAGGCGGUAUGUCAAGUCAAGGGUGAGAUCCCCGCGCUCAACGUGGGAACUGCCUUUGAA
rnacentral:rRNA from 1 species